CAGCAGCCGCGGUAAUACGGAGGGAGCUAGCGUUGUUCGGAAUUACUGGGCGUAAAGCGCGCGUAGGCGGUUACUCAAGUCAGAGGUGAAAGCCCGUGGCUCAACCCCGGAACUGCCUUUGAAACUAGGUGACUAGAAUCUUGGAGAGGUCAGUGGAAUUCCGAGUGUAGAGGUGAAAUUCGUAGAUAUUCGGAAGAACACCAGUGGCGAAGGCGACUGACUGGACGAGUAUUGACGCUGAGGUGCGAAAGCGUGGGGAGCAAACAGGAUUAGAUACCCGGGUAGUCCCUGUCUCUUAUAU
rnacentral:rRNA from 1 species